rnacentral:rRNA from 1 species
GUUUUGGUUAGUAGACUAUAAAGAUAUAAGAAAAUCAAUUUAAAUUAAUAUUAGAUAAAAGUAAUUGUUAAUGAAAUUUCUAAUUAAACGAUAGUAAAAAGUACUGUAAAGGAAAGUUUAAGUAGCUAUUAAUUAUUAUAGUAAAUAUAAACAAUUGUACCUUGUGUAUUAGGGGAAAUUUAAUUUAAUUAGGUAUAAUUUAAUAAUCCCGAAAUAAAAAUAGCUAAUUUUAUAAAAAAUUUUUAUAGCAAAAAAAUUUUUAAUAUAAAAUUAAAGAUGAAAUGUUAUUCGAGUUUUAUUAUAUCUGGUUUUUUGAAAAAUAAAUUUAAUUUAUAUUUUAAGUAAAGUAAAAUACUUAAAGUUUAAGAGCAGAAGGGAUUAUCUUUUUGUUCAUAAUAUGGUUAGUAAUUUUAUAAAAAAUGAAAUUUUCUAGGCUUGAAAGUAGCUAUGAAAAUAAAGUGUUUUAACGGAGAUUUUAAUAAAAAUAAUUUUUAUAAAAUUUUAUUUUAAAUAUUCAAAAGUUAAUUAAAACUUAAAAAAUAAAGUAACAAUGAUUUUAUUAGUAUAUUUUUAGUUGUUUAGUUGCACUUUAGGAUGAUAAAGUUUGUUUUUAAUAUAAAGGAUAUAACAAAGGAACUCGGCAAAUAUUAAUCUUUGCCUGUUUAUCAAAAACAUGUCUAUUUGUAGAUAAAAAUAGUCUGGCCUGCUCACUGAUAUAUUAAUUUAAGAGCCGCGGUAUAUUGACCGUGCAAAGGUAGCAUAAUCAUUAGUUUUUUAAUUGGGAACUUGUAUGAAUGGUUGGACAAAAGAAAAGCUGUCUGUGUUAUAAAUAUUGAAUUUAACUUUUAAGUGAAAAGGCUUAAAUAAUUUUAAGGGACGAUAAGACCCUAUAAAACUUUAUAUAUUAGUUAAAUUUUAUUAAAUUUUAAAAGUUUAAUUUAACGUUAUAUUUUGUUGGGGAGACAAAGGUAUAAAUAAUAUUAACUGUUUAAUAAAAAAACAAUAAUAUUUGAAUUAGUAAAUGAUCCUUUUUAAAGAGUAAAAGACUAAGUUACUUUAGGGAUAACAGCGUAAUUUCUUUUGAGAGCCCAUAUCGAAAAAGAAGAUUGCGACCUCGAUGUUGAAUUAAAAAGUCUGUUUAGGGCAGCUCCUAAACAAGAAGAUCUGUUCGAUCUUUAAAUUUUUACAUGAUUUGAGUUCAAACCGGUGUAAGCCAGGUUGGUUUCUAUCUUUUUAAAAAAAAAAAUUAUUUUAGUACGAAAGGAUUUAAUAAUUUUAAAAUUUAAUUUAGUUUGAAAU